CACCUGUGCAGGCUGGCCAGCCCCCAGGCUGGGCUGGGCGAGGAUCUCUUGGAAAGCCUCACCCUCCCACAUGACUGGGAGA
rnacentral:pre_miRNA from 1 species